rnacentral:rRNA from 1 species
GACAGAGGUGCCAAGCGUUAGGCGGAAUCACUGGGCUUAAAGCGCGUGUAGGUGGCGGCCUAAGUACCUUGUGAAAUCCUGCGGCUCAACCGCAGAACUGCUUGGUAUACUGGGUCGCUUGAGCCAUCCAAGGGCAACUGGAACAAGCGGUGGAGCGGUGAAAUGCGUAGAUAUCGCUUGGAACGCCAAAGGUGAAAACAGGUUGCUGGGGAUGCGCUGACACUGAGACGCGAAAGCCAGGGGAGCGAACGGG